GGUCCCGUGACCGAGUGGCUAGGUACCAGCCUGCAAAGCUGCGUCACGUUGGUUCGAAUCCGACCGGGGCCU
rnacentral:tRNA from 1 species